rnacentral:rRNA from 1 species
UACGGAAGGCAGCAGGGGGAAUAUUGCACAAUGGGCGCAAGCCUGAUGCAGCCAUGCCGCGUGUAUGAAAAAGGCCUUCGGGUUGUAAAGUACUUUCAGUCGUGAGGAAGGUGUUAAGGUUAAUAACCUUAGCAAUUGACGUUAGCGACAGAAGAAGCACCGGCUAACUCCGUGCCAGCAGCCGCGGUAAUACGGAGGGUGCGAGCGUUAAUCGGAAUUACUGGGCGUAAAGGGCACGCAGGCGGUUAAUUAAGUUGGAUGUGAAAUCCCCGGGCUUAACCUGGGAAUGGCAUUCAAGACUGGUUAGCUAGAGUCUUGUAGAGGGGGUAGAAUUCCAUGUGUAGCGGUGAAAUGCGUAGAGAUGUGGAGGAAUACCGGUGGCGAAGGCGGCCCCUGGACAAAGACUGACGCUCAUGUGCGAAAGCGUGGGGAGCAAACAGGAUUAGAUACC